UGCUGAUGCUGCUGCUGCUGCUGCUCGCUGCGGAGUUCACAGUGGGAACGUUUUCGUCUCAGGUCACGACUGCGGUCAAUCGCGCAGGCUCGGCAGCGUGCGGCUCUUUAAGGAGCUGCUGCUUCUUGACGUUCUUCAUUAAGGCACCACCAGCGCCUCGCAUUCACCGCCGCCGCCGCCGCAGUGCAUUGCGGACUCUUUAAAUGUGAGUUUUUGUGACCGAAUUCGAAAAAAAUGCUCUCCUUGUGAUGUUGGUUACCGACCUUGCAGGAGCACUGUAGUAGGGAGGCGGGGGCAAGAAAAAGGCGUGAGGGCAGGGAGCGACGUGGAAGCUGCAUGCGUCCGCAUUGUUGAUCCCCCAAGCCGACGGUGCUAAUCGGAGGUGCGGAGGAAUCAUCCCUUCAAGCAACGUCCCCUGCCCAAGCCCAAUUACCUUUUGUCACCAAUGAACAUGAGACGUCUUGCAUUAUAACGACAUUGCUAUAUUCGUGCUGUGUCUCUCAUGAAAACAAUGUUCCCGACACAAAUUGAAUGGAAGCAAACCUCAACGGUUUGCGACGAAACACGGAGGGAAGCAGAGAGAAGCAGAGAGAAGCAGAGAGAAGCAGAGAGAAGCAGAGCGAAUGAAAGGGAAGGGUGGAAUCGUGGACACGGUGAUGACAUUGGGAGCCAACUAGAGGAGGGAACGCAGCCGAGAUUACGGCCACCGUGGAGACGGAGCGCAUUGGGAUCGGCUCGUGCGCAUGCGCGAGGUGGAUUCGUGGCACCACAGGGUGCAACAGUUUCAAAAGAAGGCAGCCAUCAUCAGCCGCGUUCUAUUCGCUGCUGGAUGAAGGCCUCCCAACGCCGUAGCCAUCUCUCGAGGGCUCACAGCGCACCGAAUCGAUGCCGAGCAAUUACACGCCGACAUUCCCAUCAUAAAACGUUGAGGUCACAUUAUCCACAGACGUGACAAGAGCCCAGACUCAUUCGCUUGUCUAAUCCAAUGGGGUUGACAAGCCAACCAUUACCUGUGCAUCAGCGUUUAAUGUCGGCUUAUUGUCCCGUGAGAGUGCUCGUACGAGUCGGGUUAGAACACGCAGCUGUUCUAUCCAAUACCUGUGAUGCCAAGUAUACUGCAUCUUCAUACGUCCAGAAUAAAGUGUAUCUUUUGUUUUCGGGAGGGGGGGUUAGAUCCCAUGAAGAUAGAUGUGUCGUUAAACCCGCCACCACCCGACACAGCCAAUUAGUAAGGGUUGCCAUGUAAACAAAACGUGCUCAGUUACUACUUCAGCACACCGGUGUGUUGGAGAGUAAACCCACAGCAACAUUUACAAUUUACAGAGUGCCGUGACGUUUCGCUGGCGAUUACAACCACAACCAGCUCCAUCGGGCGAUUCGCCAUAAUUCAAAGCCUCGGUGUUAAAUUGACAUUGAGGUCUGCAGAGUGCGGCGAGGUAGGAACUGGCAGAUCAACAAGUGGUGGCCCUGUGGAGGGACUGCUGCAGGAAUGUGUCCACCACUCGCUGAGGGUCGCGAGGAACGUGGAAACGGCCUUGGGAGGCCUUCAUCCUCCUGUUUGGGGCCUUUUACUACUGCGGCGAUCCUCCCUCUAAACCAAUCGAGGAAACUUCACGCCACCAAAUCGAACCAAUCGUCGAGUUUGGAAUCGAGUUGAACUGAGAAAAAAAUCAGCAGGAGACUCUAACCUACAAUCACUAUUUAUUCGGAUUCUAGGUUAGAACAAAUAAAUAAAGCAUCCACUUUUUUACGGGAUUUUUUUCUCAUUAGGAGCAAUGUAACUUGAACAUUAUUUUACAGGGCCGUCAGAUCGAUUUUCUUUUUGUAUUUUCAAAGUGCCGGUGGUUAAUUGAAAUUGCCUCCAGUUUACCCAGGAAAUUUACGGUACGAAUGGGGCGGAGGCGGUGGUUGUGGUGGUUGUGGUGGUGAUGAUUGAGUGAUGGCUUUAAUCUGAAGCCACGAACAGAACCUCCCGAGAAGGCAACACCCACCUCCUGGACACCGCGGUCGAAAGCGAGAAAUAAUUAAAUUACUCCAUCAACAUUUUUUUGGGCUUACAAAAAAAAUAACGUGCUUGUACCGAUCGCUGCGCGCAAGAACACCCAGAGGAAUCUGUGCAUUUUGAGAUGUCUAUUUACCCCCCCAUUGUUAUGGAGAAGGUAUUUGCCAGUAGACAUCUUGGCUUGGACCACCGGCUUUACCAUGAACCUGCUUUAAAACACACGCACACCUCCGAACAGUUAUGAAACAUUAUUAUUAUUAUGAAGGAUAGCAUUCUACUUUAUGGCAACGUAAACGCUCGAUGGCCCAUUUAUAGCAACGCACUCUCCAAUAAAGGGACAGAUUAACGAGAUUUGCAGUCCACUCGGCAGCGAUGUUUUCUGACACUGUGAGUCCACCGUGUGGGCGACUUUGAAUGGGCUCGUGACGUUAUUGGCAAGAGCGGCUCACUCCGUUCGAAUGUCAGCAUGUACAAUGAUUUGGAGCCGUAACGAAUUGUUCAAUCAACUGACGCUGUUCUCGUUGCAGAGGGAGGCGUUUGAUCGGCAAUUCCAUGGUCAAAUAAGGAAAUAAAGCUCUCCUGAUUCUCACGCAUUUGCUCCCAACGUGCCAGACACCGAUUCCUUGUUUAUACGUCACAUUGUUCUUUAUGAUGAUUGCUUUCGACAUAGCGUGCAUCCUUGUUUGUUUGCACGAGUCACCUGUUUAAGGGCUCGUGUUUCUGUAGCUUUGUCUUCGUUUUAAUGAAAGAAUAAAUUGUGCAAUGAUCAAUCUGGAGGUGAAUCUGCCCCAGCCGAUUUGCGCUGCGGGGAAUUUUUACAUUUAGCCGUCACCGUCUGAUUUACGUGCGUGCGAUAUUUUGUAUUUCUCACGUGCUACGGUGUGUCGUAGUGUUUCUUUUCAUCUGAUCACUUUCUAAAAAUCACUACUUUGUUUUGGAUUUUGUCAUUUAUGUGUGUAUCUAUGUAUGUUGUAUAGUG